AUAUACAGUAUCUACAUUGCCCAACAUCAGCAGUGCAGUUUUUUUUCUGUGGUGUCUUUUAUUUUGAAAGUCGUCUCUGCGCGGAGUCUCUUUGAAGUGGAGUUGCUGUACUCACAGAGCUGAUAUUUGGAGGAGCUGAUCUGUCUGUGAGGGUGAUAAUAAACCCUGUGGAGGAGACGCGCUGAGCGGACAUGGCAGAAACAGAGGAGGAAACUCGCGCUGCGGUUUGGGUCGCGCUGAAGAGGCUCGACCUGAACGAUGACAGGGUUACAGCUCUAAGAGAGGUCCACAUUCCCAGAGGGACAAAAAUGACCACAGUCAGACAGAUCUUAGCCCACUCUUUCAGACUGGACACUGCUCAACUGACAUUCAAGAUACGAAACAGCCGAGGCUGCUUAAUCCCUUUAAACAGCUGCAUACCAGUGAACAGCAAACAGAUGCCAUAUGUCUUGGAGGUGGCAAAAUAUUUUCAGCAUGUUAGCGCAAGGCCCAGAAGUACUGCCAUCCACAAAAGCUUGAAGUCAAGACUGCAGGGUAUUGUAAGAAGGAUUGAAAGGCUAGAGGAACUUCUUCCUCAAAUCAAGCAGAAACAACAUGACACGAUGAUUAAGGACAUCGAAUUGUUAAACCAGAAGUUGAAUUUUCUUCAUAAAAGAAUGCAGAUGGCAGAGUCAUGCUGCUGGGAAGGAAUGUUUAAACGAGCACCACUCUGGUGAACCUUCAGUAUUUUGCAUUCAUAGUGCAUAUAUGUUGUUGUUCUAUAAGCUGUUUAUGAACAUUUGAUUUAAUUUAUAUAAUAAUCUUACAUAUUGUUGUUGUCACUAAACAUCAAACAUAAGGAAAACAUUAUUACUUUUAACUGAAGGUACUUUUGAAGCAUUUCUAUUGUUCUGUUUUAAUUAAAUGUCCGCACAAUAUAAAAUGCAGCUAUGGACAGUGUUUGCAUAAUCACUGAGCAAUGUACUGGGAACUAAGAUAUUAUUCAAUUAUUUAACAAGUAAAUUAUCUAUGUAGCAGCAGUGCAGUGCAUAUGAUGAUUUAGAUACAGGU
rnacentral:lncRNA from 1 species